UACGGGAGGCAGCGGUGGGGAAUAUUGCACAAUGGGCGCAAGCCUGAUGCAGCCAUGCCGCGUGUAUGAAAAAGGCCUUCGGGUUGUAAAGUACUUUCAGUCGUGAGGAAGGUGUUAAGGUUAAUAACCUUAGCAAUUGACGUUAGCGACAGAAGAAGCACCGGCUAACUCCGUGCCAGCAGCCGCGGUAAUACGGAGGGUGCGAGCGUUAAUCGGAAUUACUGGGCGUAAAGGGCACGCAGGCGGUUAAUUAAGUUGGAUGUGAAAUCCCCGGGCUUAACCUGGGAAUGGCAUUCAAGACUGGUUAGCUAGAGUCUUGUAGAGGGGGUAGAAUUCCGAUGUGUAGCGGUGAAAUGCGUAGAGAUGUGGAGGAUACCGGUGGCGAAGGCGGCCCCUGGACAAGACUGACGCUCAUGUGCGAAAGCGUGGGGAGCGAAACAGGGAUUAGAUACCCGU
rnacentral:rRNA from 1 species